UCCAUUUCAUAACAGGCCCAUUGGCUCCAGAAAGCCAUCUGUACUUACCUUCCUGGCUCCCGAAUACACAGUUGAGCUAAAAUGCUCAUUCUUGGUGAAUUCCUAGAGAACUGGCCACAUGGAAAGACCUGGAACUGCCAUCCCUGUAGCAUGGGAAACAUUUUGGGUGAACUGAGAAUGUGAGUGCCACCUUCAAAGGCCUGCAAGACACAGGUGUGGUGAAAUGUCACGUCUUGUUCCCAGCCUCUGAAGAUUCAAUUACGUGGACCAUUUUCCAGCGACGCUGUUGCAAUGCAGACCGCUCGAAGGGAGCUUCGGAGGCAUCCCUGCCAUCAUAAACAGGAACCCAGCUGUUCGGACGAUGGAGCUUUGUUCAGUUCAAAGCAUCUGAAAAUGUGGUUGUUCUCGGUGUCGCGGCGAACCUCCCGCGUGGAAAACCCAGGAUCCUUCUGAGCCACACGCGCAUGCGUCAAGACUUGCUGGUGGGCUCAGAUUGGGGCUGGCUGGGACUUUUCCAGGCCUGCGUUCUGCCACUCAGGGAAGGUGAUGAAACGUACGCUUUGGUGAUUCAGCCUUUGACAGAUGCUGUGACACUUUGCAGUGUUCGACGAAUGCCACCUCCCCAGCCCCAAAUCAAAGUCCCAUAUCUAUCGCUACCCAUCUACAAGUCUUCUCGGCUUGUUUGAAAAUGAACUAGAGCUUCUAGAACUCCGGGCUCAUUUAAAUUAAAAGCACUGGGCAGGUGAGGUCCACAUGAUGGAGAGAGCGAACUUGAAAGGCUGAUGCGCCCCAUUGGCCUGCUCAUCAUGGUAACCUGUCUCCAGUCUCUCUGCCUCCUUGGGUAGAGAGGGACAGUCAGGUUCCGGAGCUCUAGUAGGAACACCACAUGACCUAUGAAACCCCUACUACUGGGCUGGGUUCCUGAAGGAGCGCUGGGUGCUGCACAGCGGCACGGGCUGGGCUGUCCAGGGCAUUACAAACACUUUCCAGGGGAAGAACCAUGGAACGGGAGAGGAUGGGUCAGUCAGUUUGUCCAGUACCUGGGAAACCAUUCACACUGCAUACAGGUAGCUGAGAAGUUGUGUUUCCGCUGUUUUUUUCUUCUCCCCCCACUCCCCGCACCUCAUAGCCCAGAGAAAGAUGUCUUUUGAGUCUGUUGAUAAUGUUUUACUUUUCUUCCUUUGAUGACAAACUCAACUACUUCCCAAGCACAGGAGAACUCAGGUGCCACCCCACAGCUCAGUCCUGCAGGGCCCCUUUUGAGAACAGACAUGAGGGGGACCCUUUGAGGAAUUGCUGAGACCUUUGCUUUCCAGAUGUAUCAUGGGGGAGGGGCUAGAGAAGUGAGAAGUGGUUCAGCAGCUGAGAGCACUGGCUCCUCUUUCAGAGAAUCUAAGUGUGGCACCCAGGUCCUACAUCAGGCAUUUCAUAGCUGUCUGUAACUCCAGCUUCCCAGAAUCCAGUGACAUUAUCUGGCCUCUAAAGGCUCUCUCUCUCUCUCUCUCUCUCUCUCUCUCUCUCUCUCUCUCUCUCUCACACACACACACACACACACACAAAUAUAAAAGAUGCAUAUUGAGUGUUUAUCCCUGAUUUGGAGAGAUUGUAUUUCAACAGCAGGUGAAUAUUCAUCUCUAAUGUUGCUUGACUUCUGAGGGUCUCGGCACAAAUACUGUCUCCCCCUUCCUCUUUCUCCUCAGUUUAUGGAGAGUUUGUUUUUCUUUCUUGUUUUCUAACCGUCUCUCUGCCUAAAUGCUUGGAGGCUGUGAAGGUUGAUAUUUGGAGAGAUGGUUUUCCUGCACAGGUGUACUCCACCCAACAUGCAUGUGCUCUUGCCCAGCUUGGCAAGCACUCCACCAGAAAGCAUGGCACUCACGGCAUUCCCACCCCUGCACCCUUGAACCCAUCACUGCCUUGGACAACAGGCUGUGGGGAGAUGGUAUGGAGACACUUGCAAGGCUAACUCUAACACACAGCAUGGUUCUUGCCUAGCUUUCUUGCAUUCUCCACCUGAGUAUCAGACAUCUUGUUUUCAGGAAGCCCAGGCCCCAAGAAGGAAGGGACAUCACAGGGGUGUUUGAGUCAAAAGCCAGUAAGAGCCAACACAGGUCAACAGCCCUGUCAGAGAAUGGCCAUCGGGGGUCUCAACGUUUACUUUGGAGAUUUCCCAGUGGGGACUUCAGACACUAUGGGGUAGAGAUAAGACAUUUGCUGCUUGUUCAACUUCCUGCCCACCAGGAAGUAGGGGAAGUGAUAAAAGGGGAUUAUUUCAAGCUGCUGAGCUUGGGGUUUUGUUAGAUAGCAGUCGAUAACUAAAGAGGGGAGCUCAUCUCACAGCUGAGGAGACAAUGUUGUGAGUGAAAGACCCAGAAAUCACCGCGCUGGGGGCCCAGCCCUUUCUUCCAGCUUUUUCUUAUGCGAGCUUGUCUGUUCAUGCCAUCUUGUGAUGCAAACUUUAAAACACACCACCAGUCUAGAUACAUGCAUGUUCAUGUAUGCGGCAUGUUAUGUACCUGGUGAUAAAAUUGAGACAUAUGAGAAAAACACUAAGCAAACAACAUAAAUCCAGUCUGUGCUUGUUUGCCUACAGUUAGAAUUGUGUCUCUGAAUGUCACCAUGACGCAGAUUUUUGUGUAAUAAAAAUAACAGGGUUUAAGGAAAAAUGCAUGUGUUUAAGGGAAGACUACACAAUGCAGGCACAAUUUUGUGAUUAAUGUAUUACAAAGUAAGUCACCAUCUUUGUAAAAUAAAUGUAAUUUCCUUGUACCAUGUCCUUUGACAAGCACAUGCUGUUUGGGGAAUGGCUUGGUUUUGGAGAAGGGAUGGCAGAGACACAGUGAUGUGACCAGAAAAGGAUCACUGCUUGAAGUGCAAGACCUGCUGAUUCAGUAUCUCAGUGGCCAUUUUUAACCCAUCAUACUUUAAGGCAAUGAAUAACUGUGGCUUGUAUUGUACUGUACAGUAGUAUAUUGUACUGCACUGUACUGUGCUGUAUUUUAUUGUACUAUACUAUAUUAUGUUGUAUUAUGCUAUACUAUACAUCAUUAUACGGUACUGUGUCUUAUUGUACUGUGCUAUAUUAUAUAGUAUUGUACUGUACUAUACUGUAUUAUUUUCAGAAAAAGAUCUCUGUGUAACGUA